AGGUGUUAAAUAAUCAAAAAAGCGUACAUGCUUGCAUGUUAAGCGUUUUGAUUAUUUAACCCGAACAAAUAUGAGAAAAUAGCAAUUUGCGUAGCAAAUUAGCGGUUUUCGAAUGUUUGUAGAAUUGCGAGAAUGACGAAGUCAUGGAGCAAUUCGU
rnacentral:sRNA from 1 species